rnacentral:rRNA from 1 species
AACAAACGCUGGCGGCGUGCCUAAUACAUGCAAGUCGAACGAAGAAAUCUCUUCGGAGAGAGUAAGAGUGGCGCACGGGUGAGUAACGCGUGGAUAAUCUGCCCUGGAGUGGGGAACAACCUAUCGAAAGGUAGGCUAAUACCGCAUAAGACCACAGAAGCUGCGGCUUCAGUGGUCAAAGAUUUAUCGCUCCUGGAUGAGUCCGCGUAAGAUUAGCUAGUUGGUGAGGUAAUGGCUCACCAAGGCUCCGAUCUUUAACUGGUUUGAGAGGAUGAUCAGUCACACUGGAACUGAGACACGGUCCAG